AGUCGAACGGGACUCUUCGGAGUUCAGUGGCGGACGGGUGAGUAACGCGUGAGAAUCUACCUUCAGGUCUGGGACAACCACUGGAAACGGUGGCUAAUACCGGAUGUGCCAUACAGUGAAAGAUUUAUCGCCUGAAGAUGAGCUCGCGUCUGAUUAGCUAGUUGGUGAGGUAAAAGCUCACCAAGGCGACGAUCAGUAGCUGGUCUGAGAGGAUGAUCAGCCACACUGGAACUGAGACACGGUCCAGACUCCUACGGGAGGCAGCAGUGGGGAAUUUUCCGCAAUGGGCGAAAGCCUGACGGAGCAAGACCGCGUGAGGGAGGAAGGCUCUUGGGUUGUAAACCUCUUUUGUCAGGGAAGAAGAAAGUGACGGUACCUGACGAAUCAGCCUCGGCUAACUCCGUGCCAGCAGCCGCGGUAAUACGGAGGAGGCAAGCGUUAUCCGGAAUCAUUGGGCGUAAAGCGUCCGCAGGUGGCUAUUCAAGUCUGCUGUCAAAGCACAGGGCUUAACCCUGUUAAGGCGGUGGAAACUGAAAGGCUAGAGUGCGGUAGGGGUAGAGGGAAUUCCCGGUGUAGCGGUGAAAUGCGUAGAGAUCGGGAAGAACAUCGGUGGCGAAAGCGCUCUACUGGACCGCAACUGACACUCAGGGAC
rnacentral:rRNA from 1 species